rnacentral:lncRNA from 1 species
AAGCACCAUGGAAUGUGUACGGAUGGGUUGGGUAGGUUGUUUAGAGGAGGUUGUGUCUUGCUGGAAACUUGUCAUGGGGAAAAAUAUCGGAAGAGAGGGUUUUGCAGAUAAGGGAUUGCAAUAAAGGUAGUAAGUAAUCUGGUCCGAACAGAUACAGAGUCUGUAGUACUAGACGGGCUGGGAGAGAGAACGGUUAUGGAAGGAGGUGCUGGGGCAGACCGAGACAUGAGGGAUGCUACCGAUGGUGAGGUAGACAAAUGGGGC